rnacentral:rRNA from 1 species
AGAGUUUGAUCCUGGCUCAGGACGAACGCUGGCGGCGUGCCUAAUACAUGCAAGUAGAACGCUGAAGAGAGGAGCUUGCUCUUCUUGGAAGAGUUGCGAACGGGUGAGUAACGCGUAGGUAACCUGCCUUGUAGCGGGGGAUAACUAUUGGAAACGAUAGCUAAUACCGCAUAAAAGUCGACAUUGCAUGAUGUUGACUUAAAAGGUGCAAUUGCAUCACUAAGAGAUGGACCUGCGUUGUAUUAGCUAGUUGGUGAGGUAACGGCUCACCAAGGCGACGAUACAUAGCCGACCUGAGAGGGUGAUCGGCCACACUGGGACUGAGACACGGCCCAGACUCCUACGGGAGGCAGCAGUAGGGAAUCUUCGGCAAUGGGGGGAACCCUGACCGAGCAACGCCGCGUGAGUGAAGAAGGUUUUCGGAUCGUAAAGCUCUGUUGUAAGAGAAGAACGAGUGUGAGAGUGGAAAGUUCACACUGUGACGGUAUCUUACCAGAAAGGGACGGCUAACUACGUGCCAGCAGCCGCGGUAAUACGUAGGUCCCGAGCGUUAUCCGGAUUUAUUGGGCGUAAAGCGAGCGCAGGCGGUUAGAUAAGUCUGAAGUUAAAGGCUGUGGCUUAACCAUAGUACGCUUUGGAAACUGUUUAACUUGAGUGCAAGAGGGGAGAGUGGAAUUCCAUGUGUAGCGGUGAAAUGCGUAGAUAUAUGGAGGAACACCGGUGGCGAAAGCGGCUCUCUGGCUUGUAACUGACGCUGAGGCUCGAAAGCGUGGGGAGCAAACAGGAUUAGAUACCCUGGUAGUCCACGCC